rnacentral:rRNA from 1 species
UAACGCGUAUCCGACCUUCCCGCGGCAGGGGCAUAACCCGGUGAAAGCCGGACUAAUUCCCCGUGGUCCCCACACAGGCCAUCCUUCGUGGGGUAUAGGACUCGUCCGGCCGCGGACGGGGAUGCGUCCGAUUAGCUAGUUGGCGGGGUAACGGCCCACCAAGGCGCCGAUCGGUAGGGGUUCUGAGAGGAAGGCCCCCCACAUUGGGACUGAGACACGGCCCAAACUCC